AGAGAGAGGAAGAUGAAGGAGAGAGAGGGGGCGGUGGGGGGAGUGGAGGAGAGGAGGAGAGGUGGUGAGGGGGAACAGGGUGACAAAGAGAGAGAAAGAGGGAGUGCAGGUGAGAAAGAAAUGUGUGCUGUGAUUGUGUGUGUGUGUGUGUGUGUUCUUCUUCCUGGUAUUGCAGUGGUUUGUGGGUAAACCACUGGUACACAACAGAUGGACGACAAGUCUGACUCACACUGGACCCAGAAUUAGAUCUGUUUGUGCUUUCAGCCAACUUCUCACACAUGUGCUGUAUGGCAGCAGAGUAGUUCGCUAAAGGACAAGCUGAUCUGGGACCAGUCUAUAACAGGCCCUGAUGACUGUGGGAUAAUAAUACUCGUAUUAUUCUAUUGACGUAUCUCUCACCCAUGAUUGGUCUAUUUAUGCGCAGCUACUUCAUGCGGUAAAGUAUUCAGAAUAUUGAGGUGGAGUGGAGCUGCCUACGGACAGGUCAGGGAAGGGCCCUACGGACAGGUCAGGGAGGGGCCCUACAGACAGGUCAGGGAGGGGCCCUACGGACAGGUCAGGGAGGGGCCCUACAGACAGGUCAGGGAGGGGCCCUACAGACAGGUCAGGGAGGGGCCCUACAGACAGGUCAGGGAGGGGCUCUAUGGACAGGUCAGGGAGGGGCUCUAUGGACAGGUCAGGGAGGGGCUCUACGGACAGGUCAGGGAGGGGCCCUACGGACAGGUCAGGGAGGGGCCGUACGGACAGGUCAGGGAGAGGCCCUACAGACAGGUCAGGGAGGAGCCCUACAGACAGGUCAGGGAGGGACUAUAUGGACAGGUCAGGGAGGGGCUAUAUGGACAGGUCAGGGAGGGGCUCUAUGGACAGGUCAGGGAGGGGCUCUAUGGACAGGUCAGGGAGGGGCUAUAUGGACAGGUCAGGGAGGGGCUAUAUGGACAGGUCAGGGAGGGGCUCUAUGGACAGGUCAGGGAGGGGCCCUACAGACAGGUCAGGGAGGGGCCCUACAGACAGGUCAGGGAGGGGCCCUACAGACAGGUCAGGGAGGGGCCCUACAGACAGGUCAGGGAGGAGCCCUACAGACAGGUCAGGGAGGGGCCCUACAGACAGGUCAGGGAGGGGCUGUAUGGACAGGUCAGGGAGGGGCUCUACGGACAGGUAUUUAUUUUGGGUACAGUGUGCCGUCAGUCUGUUGUUGUCAUCUUCCCAGGCCCUCUCUCCUUUCCUGUUCUGUGCUCAGUGAACUCCAGUGAGACAGGACAGCAGGCUAGCAGCACUGUGAGAGAAGCAGCAGAGGGCAGGGACG